rnacentral:tRNA from 1 species
GAGAUAUUAGUAUAACAAUACGUAACCUUGUCAAGGUUAAAUUCCAGGCGAAAAUCCUGUAUAUCUCU